UACGGGGGGGCAAGCGUUGUUCGGAAUUACUGGGCGUAAAGGGCUCGUAGGCUGCCAACUAAGUCGGACGUGAAAUCCCCAGGCUCAACCUGGGAACUGCGUCUGAUACUGGAUGGCUUGAAUCCGGGAGAGGGAUGCAGAAUUCCAGGUGUAGCGGUGAAAUGCGUAGAUAUCUGGAGGAAUACCGGUGGCGAAGGCGGCAUCCUGGACCGGCAUUGACGCUGAGGAGCGAAAGCCAGGGGAGCAAACGGG
rnacentral:rRNA from 1 species